rnacentral:rRNA from 1 species
AUUGAACGCUGGCGGCAUGCCUUACACAUGCAAGUCGAACGGCAGCACGGGGGCAACCCUGGUGGCGAGUGGCGAACGGGUGAGUAAUGCAUCGGAACGUACCCGGAAGUGGGGGAUAACGUAGCGAAAGUUACGCUAAUACCGCAUAUUCUGUGAGCAGGAAAGUGGGGGACCGCAAGGCCUCACGCUUUCGGAGCGGCCGAUGUCGGAUUAGCUAGUUGGCGGGGUAAAGGCCCACCAAGGCGACGAUCCGUAGCGGGUCUGAGAGGAUGAUCCGCCACACUGGGACUGAGACACGGCCCAGACUCCUACGGGAGGCAGCAGUGGGGAAUUUUGGACAAUGGGCGCAAGCCUGAUCCAGCCAUGCCGCGUGAGUGAAGAAGGCCUUCGGGUUGUAAAGCUCUUUCGGCGGGGAAGAAAUUGCUUAGGUUAAUACCUUGAGUAGAUGACGGUACCCGCAUAAGAAGCACCGGCUAACUACGUGCCAGCCGCCGCCGUAACAC